GCUUCUCUGACCGUGGCUUUUGUGUAGUUUCAUACGUUGUCUACAGAAAACAAAAAUGUUUAGAAACGUGAAAGAGACUUCUUACUAUGGAUAUACUACUUAAGAAAUUGCACAAGAGUAUACUUGUAUAAUAAAAACAGUUUACUCACACUGAAUCUCAAGUCCAUAUAAUGCUUUGAAACCAUCACAUUAGCACUUGUCA
rnacentral:lncRNA from 1 species